rnacentral:tRNA from 1 species
GGGCGAUUAGCUCAGUGGUAGAGNNAGAGCACUGCCUUCACACGGCAGGGGUCACAAGUUCGAACCUUGUAUCGCCCACCA